UGGUCCUGGUCAGUCCCUGGAUGGGAGACCAGAUGCUGCUGGAAGUGGUGUUGGAGGGCCAGUAGGAGGCACUCUUUCCUCUGGUCUAAAAAGAUAUCCCAAUGCCCCAGGGCAGUGAUUGGCACUGCCCUGUGUAGGGUGCUGUCUUUCGGAUGGGACGUUAAACGGGUGUCCUGACUCUCUGAGGUCAUUAAAGAUCCCAUGGCACUUAUCGCAAGAGUAGGGGUGUUAACCCCAGUGUCCUGGCUAAAUUCCCAAUCUGGCCCUCAUACCAUCAUGGCCACCUAAUCAUCCCCAGUUUACAAUUGGCUCAUUCAUCCCCCUCCUCUCCCCUGUAACUAUUCCCCAGGUUGUUGCUGUAAAUGAGAAUGUGUUCUCAGUCAACUUACCUGGUAAAACAAUACAGAUGGGUCUUUCUAUAAAUAAUAGGGUCAAUGUGUGACACUAACCAGGUUUCCAUCCAACCUUUUUAUGUGAGUAAAGUAGCCUAAAUCUUGAAUAAACAAAUGUAAUGGAAACAGCACAUAUUUCUUUAAACUUUCCAAAUGUCGACAAAACAAAAUACACUAUACAAGGUGGGAUCUUUUUGUGCCGGUAAAAUUAAUUAUGCGAGAAAUGUUGGUGGAAAUGCUUUUAUGCGCAAAUAUUGAUAUCACAACCAUCAUAUCAAAGUAGACUUGGAGUCCCGCGAUGACAUGGUGUGUGGUCCUCCCGCUACGACUCGUCGGGGAAGCAUACAGUUUAUUAGGCUACAGAUGAAAGAACUGAUGAUGAACUCCCGCUACGACUCGUCGGGGAAGCAUACAGUUUGUUAGGCUACAGAUGAAAGAACUGAUGAUGAACUCCCGCUACGACUCAUCGGGGAAGCAUACAGUUUGUUAGGCUACAGAUGAAAGAACUGAUGAUGAACUCCCACUACGACUCGUCGGGGAAGCAUACAGUUUGUCAGGCUACAGAUGAAAGAACUGAUGAUGAACUCCCACUACGACUCGUCGGGGAAGCAUACAGUUUAUCAGGCUACAGAUGAAAGAACUGAUGAUGAACUCCCACUACGACUCGUCGGGGAAGCAUACAGUUUAUCAGGCUACAGAUGAAAGAACUGAUGAUGAACUCCCACUACGACUCGUCGGGGAAGCAUACAGUUUAUCAGGCUACAGAUGAAAGAACUGAUGAUGAACUCCCACUACGACUCGUCGGGGAAGCAUACAGUUUAUCAGGCUACAGAUGAAAGAACUGAUGAUGAACACCCGCUACGACUCGUCGGGGAAGCAUACAGUUUAUCAGGCUACAGAUGAAAGAACUGAUGAUGAACUCCCACUACGACUCGUCGGGGAAGCAUACAGUUUAUCAGGCUACAGAUGAAAGAACUGAUGAUGAACAUCGCAGGGAAGGGAAAGUACAAGGUGAUACAUUUAAAUCUUAAAAUGUGCCGAUUUUAUGAAUAUUGGAUGGUUUAUGCAGAUUUUCGAAUAUUAGCAUGAACGUCUUUCAUUCAUUGGAUGGAAACCUGCCAUUAUCACUUUAAGAAUAAUGCAUUUUUUGGGCCUUGCCAAUGCAUCGAUAUUCAAAUGAUUAUUACAUUCUGAAAUAUGUGAGAAUAAUGUGGACAUUGCCUGACUAAAUAGUUUGGAUGCAUGGCGAUUUUUCUGUAGCCUAUGUGGCCUACGCAGGUAGACAUCAUAAAGCAGUGAAUAGCGGUAGCAUUAAUCUCACCAUUUGAAUCUCACUAUCGCCGUUUCUAUCAUGAGAAAGUGACCAGUUCCCCUUUUUAAUGGAUAGAUUUGUAUGGAAUGCCAAGUUGAAGCCAACAUUAGCUGUCGUCCUAAUAAUAACCGCAAAAUUGUUUUACCGCAAAAGAGUAGCGCAACACCCUUCAAUUGAAGCGGCAGGAAACAAAAUAGCUACCGCUAUUCACUCUAACCCACACUAACCCACUCUAACACACUCUAACCCACACUAACCCACACUAACCCACACUAACCCACACUAACCCACACUAACCCACUCUAACCCACUCUAACACACACUAACCCACACUAACCCACAAACACACACUAACCCACACUAACCCACACUAACCCACUCUAACCCACACUAACCCACACUAACCCACACUAACCCACACUAACACACACUAACCCUCUCUAACCCUCUCUAACCCUCUCUAACCCUCUCUAACCCACGAAUAGAUGAUUGACAGAGAUAGAUACACACUUAGUGUAUACUAACUCAGCUUUUACAUGGUCUCUAAACAUCAUGCACAUUUUCCAGAGUGCCUCACCUCCUGUAAGGUCAUCAAGGCUGCCCUCCCCAUCUCCUGGGAAAGACUCCAUCACUCCUUCCUUUCAACAGCUGCAGGAGGAAUAAAGAGAGAGAAAGAAAGGGAUGAAUAGAUAAAACAAUAAAGCAUAGAUACAGACAGACCAACAAAUGAAAGCAGAUAGGGAGAGAAGCCAGCAGUCAGAGGAGAAAGAGAGAUGCAGAUCUGUUAUAUCUAACAGAAUGUCCAUUCUACCUGAACAGAACACGAUCUCACACCCCACCUGAGCACAAAGGUAAGUAGCAGAUAGACAAAUGGAACACCAAGAUAUAUUAAGUUACCGUACGCACGCACGUAUGAACGCACACCCACUGUGGUCAUUACAGCCAUAUAACCUGGCUCUGCCUUUGAAGUAUUGAAGUCUACAAUGUGAGCUGCUAGUUGAUGGCCAGAGGCUGAUAAGCCAGACAGCAUGAGGCUGUGGAGCAACAUGCAAAGUUCAGCCUGCUCCUGAGUCCCCUUUGAGACUUAG
rnacentral:lncRNA from 1 species